rnacentral:rRNA from 1 species
GCAUCGAUGAAGAACGCAGCCAGCUGCGUGAAUUAAUGUGAAUUGCAGGACACAUUGAACAUCGAUAUCUUGAACGCACAUUGCAGCUUCGGGUCACUCCCGGAGCAACGCCUGUCUGAGGGUCGGU